UCCACAAAAAUUUCGAAACUUAUGUAACGUGUUCGUUUUUUGGCUAAAAGUGUAAACAUGCCUGGCAAAAAGCGUAGUAUCACCAAAAAAUCAACCAUUUCUGCUCCGGUGGCAAUUGCCGAAUCGGCUGUGGUUGCUGCGCCACCAGCUGCCGCAAGUGCUCCAACCAAAUCUCCUGAAAAGAAGACCAUCAAAAAGAGCAAAACGAAGAGCAAAACCAAAACCAAAACCAAGAAAGCUUAGAAGGUGCCAAAAUGCCAGGCUCAAAAUGAUGCACAGGGCAAAUAUUAGAUGGAUCUUGAGCACUAAAGAUACCCAAGCAUGAACACAAUUUAAAGCUUGGUCGAAUAUCCAAAAAAAUACUGCUUAAAUCAGGAUUAAAUUUA
rnacentral:sRNA from 1 species